rnacentral:rRNA from 1 species
UACGUAGGGUGCAAGCGUUGUCCGGAAUUAUUGGGCGUAAAGAGCUCGUAGGCGGUCUGUCACGUCGGCUGUUAAAACCCGGGGCUCAACCCCGGGCCUGCAGUCGAUACGGGCAGACUAGAGUGCGGUAGGGGAGACUGGAAUUCCUGGUGUAGCGGUGAAAUGCGCAGACAUCAGGAGGAACACCGGUGGCGAAGGCGGGUCUCUGGGCCGAUACUGACGCUGAGGAGCGAAAGCGUGGGGAGCGAACAGG